rnacentral:tRNA from 1 species
GCGCUCGUAGCUCAGCUGGAUAGAGUACCUGGCUACGAACCAGGCGGUAAGAGGUUCGAAUCCUCUCGAGCGCGCCA